rnacentral:rRNA from 1 species
GAUGAACGCUAGCGACAGGCUUAACACAUGCAAGUCGAGGGGCAGCGGGGGUGGAGCUUGCUCCACCCGCCGGCGACCGGCGCACGGGUGAGUAACACGUAUGGAACCUGCCCUGCACAGGGGGAUAAGCGAAAGAAAUUUCGUCUAAUACCGCAUAACACCUUCGGGAGACAUCUCCCGGAGGUCAAAGGGAGCAAUCCCGGUGCAGGAUGGCCAUGCGGCGCAUUAGCUGGUUGGCGGGGUAACGGCCCACCAAGGCGACGAUGCGUAGGGGUUCUGAGAGGAAGGUCCCCCACAUUGGAACUGAGACACGGUCCAA